CUUUUACUGUUAUAAUAAAGAAGCUAACAGAUAACUGAAUCGUGAACGGUGGCUAUCUCUUGGGAGGUGGUACUUAUGGAGAUAAGUACGAAAUCUGAAGAAGGGAGAGGCCUUUUGUCAACAGCUGAAGCUUUGCAGCUAAUGCUGGCAUUUGGUGGCUUUGUGCUAACCUUUGUCGGCGUAGU
rnacentral:sRNA from 1 species